AUAAAGUGUCAUUAUUUUCAUGGUGAUCUUCUUGCAAAUGUUUCUAAUGAUGACCGCAUGUCUCUUGGACCAAUUCCAUCAAAUGUUUAUUUACCCCUCCAAGUUGAAUCUGUGACCCAUCCUUCCAUGUAGCUGCAAGCUCCUUUUGUCUUAUGAUUCCAGUUAUAGCAAGAAUGCUGAUAUGGAUAUGAUGCAACUCCUCUGAGUUGAGUCCUCCUGGCUCCAGGGCCAGUGCUCGGUCCACUGAGCAGUAUGUCCACUUGGCUACUAGACAAGGAUCUGAGAUGUGGAGUGCUACUUUUCAAAGAAAAAAAAGGUUCAAGAAGUGAGCCACGGGGGAUCUGGGCAUCUAGGAAUCCAGGCUGGAUGUUGCCAGAAACUCACACUGCCAGCUUUGGACUUGAACUUGAAGGGACUAGUGCUAUGUAGGAACUGGGCUAAACUGAGAGUAUAAUCCCCCUUCUCUUCCCAGAGACUGAGGUGGUGUAGGGGGAGAUCAUGCCCCUGAGGUAUUGAGGGGAAAUGUUUGUACGUUUGUUCUUGCUAUAUCUUUGAAGCAAAUACCCCUUCAUAAAAUAUCUGGUGCUAAGUGAUUAAAUGGAACUGGGGUACUAGGGACUGAGCCCCUAAACUAGGUGGAAUACAAUUGAUGGGGGGACAAAAACCAGAGAAGAGUGUUCCAAAUCCCUUCAAGGCAGGAUUUCUUAAUUUUUUUCCACUGUAAGUGUUUCAGUAGCAUUGUUGGUGUUAUGGGGUCUGAGGGCAUAUGCAGUGCAAAGUGCGCAUGCUUUGUGUUCAGAACCAAGGCUGCAGUGAAGUUGCCUGAUGCAUCUGGGCAAGUGGUAACAGAAACACCUUGGAUUCAUUACAUGUUUGAUUUUUAAUUACUUAUUUGUCAUUGUGUAUUCAAGAACCUCUUACUACUGCCAAAUUUUUCUGUACCCCAUAUGGGGUCGUGACCCACAGUUUAAGAAGCGCUGCUUCAGGAAACUGGAGAAUCCUAUAGGUGUAAAAUAUAGCAGGCUUCAUUCUUAGACAAUGGGGCCAGUGCAACUCAUGUUACACUUUGAUCAAAGUUCUGAGGUUCUUGAGGCAACUAGGUGGCACAGUAGAUAGAGCACCAGCCCUGGAGUCAGGAGAACCUGAGUUUAA